rnacentral:lncRNA from 1 species
UUUUUAUGAUUUUUCUACAAUUUCCUACGAAUUUUACAAGUUAGCUGCUUUGCACACAUGAAAUAAUAAAAGAGUUUCGCAGAGAGGCCCUCGGUUUCUCACCGGCGGUGAUGGCGAGUUCCAUCUGCUGCAGCUCGUUGCAGUUAUGGCGAGGGAUAUGAUGGGGUCAAACCCUGGAAGAAACCCUAGACGCCAUGCUGUUUGCGGACCAGCUGCUGUCAAAUCCGCGCCGCUGUUUCCGCCUCGACCACCUCGUGCUGCUGCUCCUCUUCCUCCUCAUCUGCUGGACCGGCGUCGCCUCGGCCUUGUCGCGCCGCAUCUGCACAUCCUGCCGGUCCCGUGGCUCGG